rnacentral:rRNA from 1 species
CUGGUACAAAGGGUUGCCAACCGCGAGGGGGAGCCAAUCCCAUAAAGCCAGUCGUAGUCCGGAUCGUAGUCUGCAACUCGACUACGUGAAGUCGGAAUCGCUAGUAAUCGUGGAUCAGAAUGUCACGGUGAAUACGUUCCCGGGUCUU